rnacentral:rRNA from 1 species
UACGAAGGGGGCUAGCGUUGCUCGGAAUCACUGGGCGUAAAGGGUGCGUAGGCGGGUCUUUAAGUCAGGGGUGAAAUCCUGGAGCUCAACUCCAGAACUGCCUUUGAUACUGAAGAUCUUGAGUUCGGGAGAGGUGAGUGGAACUGCGAGUGUAGAGGUGAAAAUUCGUAGAUAUUCGCAAGAACACCAGUGGCGAAGGCGGCUCACUGGCCCCGAUACUGACGCUGAGGCACGAAAAGCGUGGGGGAGCAAACAGG